GGGCUGGUACGUGGCUGGUGCAAUCCUGCUCAUUCUGCUUGCUGUCAUACUUUUGCUUGCAAGAGAAAUAAUGAAGAUGAAGAGCAAUCAAGCACGACAGUCUCAAAUGAUGCAGAGGAGUUGCCAUGGUGACCAAGGUACCACUGACCCA